AUGUUAAAUCAGGGCUCCCGACUGCAGCUAUUAACUUCUGUUUUGACAUCUAUGCCAAUCUACUUCCUAUGUUGUCUGCAACUUCCUCCUAGUAUUAUUAAGCAACUAGACAGAAUAUUUAGGCAAUGCCUAUGGAGAGGUAGCAGUGAUGCUCCUAAGCAAUCCCUGGCUGCUUGGGAUUUGGUUUCUAGGCCAAAGGACAAAGGAGGGCUUGGGGUGAUCAACUUGCACAUUCAAAACAAGGGCCUCCUUGUCAAGCAUCUCCAUAUUUUUUUAAUAAGGCUAAUAUCCCCUGGGUGA
rnacentral:rRNA from 1 species